UUCCAACUGACUAAAUGGUUGAAAACCAUCUGUACAUAAUCCCAACCUGGCAUUUCUUGGUUUAGCGGCAAAAAAGGGAUGACUUUCAUUGAAGUGCUUCCAAACCUCAGAAUCUGAUGGAUGGCGCAUCACACCAUCCUUUUUUUUAUGCUCAUGAUGCCAUCUCAUGUCAGCAGCUGUAGCAUGAGAUGUAUAUAAU
rnacentral:lncRNA from 1 species